CUGUAAAAAAUGAUUUUGGAGGGUGGUAUAUAUAACCCAUUCAUAUUGUUUAAAAAAUACCCAAAUGUAUUAGUCAGCUAGAAAAAUAAAUUACAAUGGGUAAAUUCUACCUACACUACCCAUUUUUUAACAGUGACAACUGCUACCUAAAAAUAUAUAGUAACAUACUUAAAAACUAUUGGUCCCUCACGCACUUGUCGAGGGUUUUGAGUGCUGCUGCUCGUCUGUUGUUGAGCUGCUGUUUUGAAGGUUAAAGAGGAGUUCCAGCACAGCUUGACUGGUACACACCACAUCUUUUACAGCUGUUGCGUGCCAAAGGAGGAGCUGCUGGUGCUAGGAUGCAUCCACUCCUUAAAACUGUAAAUGAGGUGUGUACGGUUUUGUUUGUUUUUUUAUUUAUUUUAUUUUUUUUCUUCAUUUACUUUUUUAGUAUUGAGGAAUUCAGUUGUCUGUUGCCUCAUGAGUACCCUGGGGAACACCAAGAAGACCUCUUCCAAGACUGUCAGGUAUGUUAGUGAUCAACCUAAAGGAAAACUCUGGUGUAAAAUUUAAAGUACUUACCUUUGAUAAAUAGCCCACCUCCAUUCUCCCACAGCUUUCUGAGAUCCAGCAAUGUUGUACUGUUUGUCCAAGCAGACUUUACAAUGGGUGAAACGGGGCAUACUCUUGCCCAUGCAGAUAAAUCGCUUUUUACAUCGUUAUCCAGACUCUCUGGAUUCUACCUUCUACUUUGAGCCUGGAUAACUGUGUAAAAAGCGAUUUCAUUCUGUUUCACCCAUUGUAAAGUGUGCUUGGAUAAACAGUACAAAAUUGCUGGAUCUCAGAAAGCUGUGGGAGAACUGAGGUGGGCUAUUCAUCAAAGGUAAAUACUUUUUAUCAUGUUUUACUACAGCUAAAGUCAUUUUUACACCAGAGAUCUCCUUUAAGGUAUACACAGGGUUGCCCUAAUAUCAUUUUCAUUCUUGAUGCUCAUCACAGAACUGUGUUUCAGGCAGUUGGUUUACCCAACCUUCAGUGUAUUACUGUACACAUUGCGUGCCUUUUAAAUAUUGGUUUGUUCUUUAUAAUAUUGUUUUAAACACACUUGGGUUACAUUACAUUAGGUGCGUUAAACUAUACAGAUAGGCCAUGAUUAUUGAAAUCUGAAUGGUUCACCCUUGUAUACAGGUGGUCUAGUAGCAGAUCUGUUAUGAGUUUAAGUGACACAUUUUUGUUUCUUUCUGAUGUUCUGGGUUUGUCAUUAGAUUGUAAAUGCUAUAUUGUUAAUAUGAUAAUCAAUUGUAUAUUCCUUUUUUCUUAUUCUUUUGCCAUGGAGGACGGACGUGAAGACCACAAAGAUCAAACCAUGAAGGUGCUCGUGAUCCAUAAUGUCAUCGCUGAAGAUGACCCAGUAGAUGAGUCUGUUGUCAUAGAGGACAUCCAAGUGCUGAAAGGGUGUGUAAACAAGACCAAGGCAUGUAUGCUGUUGGCUUGAUCUACGCCCUCAACCUUCAAGAAGCUCAAGUACACUUGCAAAGUUUUCCAGAAAAUUGUUGUGGAGCUUCCUGGAGCAAAACUGCCCAAGUAGGUCCACAGCCUCAGAAGGAACGAAUGGAAUGAACUGUUUUACCCACAUUGAGUCACAAACUUUUAUACACCUUUAUUCCGCUUCUAUAACUUGCAUUAUUAUUCAUGUUAUAUUUUGAAUGUAAUCUGUUGUUAUGACCUAUUGGGGUUAAUAAAUGUUUUAAAAACUUAAAA